ensembl:lncRNA
CACGAGGGGAGGAAGGGAAGGGAGAGAGCAGAAGAGCCAGAGAGGGGAUGGAGUUCUGGGUAUCGUACUGUAGAUAGAGUGGAUAUGCUGUAGAGUGAAGAAGAAAGAUGAGAGAGAUGGUUGAAAGAAAAAGGUGAAAGAGCACGACGAUGUCCAGAUGAUCCUCCAGCAACAGCUCCGGAGCCAGCAACAACAGGCAGCAGAACAAGCCCAGAGGAAGCCGUCCCGUCUGGGGCUGCUGAGGAGGACCAACAGACCCCCCCUCCAGAGGCCAGCCUCUACCCCCUUGACCUACACCACUGGACAGGUUCCCGUUAGUACCCGCGUCCCUUCCCCCUCUCCCACCCCCCAAUGUACCCCUGUCACCUGGAGGGACAGGCUGAAAAGGGGGAAGGUGGGUCGUCAUAGUGGCCAGGAUGCAGAGCAGGCAUUGCAGGCAUCGCGGUCGUCGAGCGGCAGCAGACUGGAGGAGGGGUUUCAUACCAUAGACUUAUAAUAACACAUCAUACACAAAAUGAUAUGCAUUUAAGGGAGGGAUACAACUCAUAUCUAUGUACUGUAUUUACUGGUAGCUACUUUAUCAAUCUUUCUAACUGUGGAUUCUUACUGGGAGAGAUACAUUGAGCUGAUAGUUAGAUACAGAAUCACAAGCAGAUUCAUUCUCCAAUCUACUAGUACUGUGCACCGCUCUGAUCUGUUUGGCUUUAGGAAAAUAUUUUUCAGAGAAUUAUGUCUAUUGGUGCCUGGAUACUACAUUUAGGUUGGAGAUUUUCCCUCCAACUCUAGGCAUACAUUUUCUAUUGUAAUGACAAGCAGUCAUGUUGACUGUAACACGUGUCUCUGAUUAAAGGGGCAAUCCUUAGUUGCUAGGGCAACAUACAUUUUUGGACAUAGAAAUGAAUGAUAUCUGCCCAUUGAUUCUUGAAGAAUAUAACAUAUAAAUGCAUAUCAAUGCCUAAUGAGCUUAGUUCAACUGUCAUAGUCCAUCAGAACCCAAAAUAUAAGCUUGUUUUACUCCAAUGUUUGUAAAUAUAAAUGUAAACAAACAGGGCCAAUUGCAACCACUGAUGGCCACUAGAUUAUCGCCAGCCGAUCUCUCGUUAAACCAAAAUUUAUGUUGCUGUAGCAAAUAAGGAUUGACCCUUUAAUCAGACUAAGAGAUUGGAGAAUGAGUCUGCUUGUGACUGUGUAUCUAACCAGAGGGUGAAAUUGAGAGGUGGCACCACAGGUUCCAAAGUGGUGUGGCACUGGUCAGGUAAAACUCUGGGCCCUAUUCGUAGGCUAUGAUAAAAUAUUAUUAUUAUAGAUAGAACAGAUGAAAAGGGAAGCUAUGAAUAGGGCUGGAGUUUUUCUUGUCAAGACAUGUGAAUUGGAAACACUCCUGGCCUAAGGUGAAUCAAACCCUUUCAAACUCCUACAAACCUUGUUAUUGUUCAUUCUGAAGCCUUUAUGUAUGGCAGAGUUACAUUUAGCACUAUACUCAGUAUAAUUUGUAACAAGCCAGGGUUACAUUUAAUAUUAUACACAGUAAAAUUUGUAACAAUGUUUUUUUUAAUGUGUAAGUCAUAAAACCACUAACUUUGUGUCAUUGUCCUGGUCUCCAUCUGGGCUACCAGAGGUUGGAUCCCUGCUUCUCACUGUUGGAACUGAUUGCCUGUAAAAUCCAUAUUGUCAAUCAUUAAAUCAACUACUUUAAACAUUUUUAUUGAAAAUUAUAUUCCCC